UGCCUACGGGAGGCAGCAGUGGGGAAUAUUGCACAAUGGGGGAAACCCUGAUGCAGCAACGCCGCGUGGGUGAAGGAGCGUUUCGGCGCGUAAAGCCCUGUCAGCGGGGAAGAAGAAAGACGGUACCCGACCAAGAAGCCCCGGCUAACUACGUGCCAGCAGCCGCGGUAAUACGUAGGGGGCGAGCGUUAUCCGGAAUUACUGGGUGUAAAGGGAGCGUAGACGGCGAUGCAAGUCUGAAGUGAAAGGCGGGGGCCCAACCCCCGGACUGCUUUGGAAACUGUAUGGCUGGAGUGCAGGAGAGG
rnacentral:rRNA from 1 species